rnacentral:rRNA from 1 species
AACGAACGCUGGCGGCAGGCUUAACACAUGCAAGUCGAGCGCCCCGCAAGGGGAGCGGCAGACGGGUGAGUAACGCGUGGGAAUCUACCCAUCUCUACGGAAUAACGCAUGGAAACGUGUGCUAAUACCGUAUACGUCCUUCGGGAGAAAGAUUUAUCGGAGAUGGAUGAGCCCGCGUUGGAUUAGCUAGCUGGUGGGGUAAAGGCCUACCAAGGCGACGAUCCAUAGCUGGUCUGAGAGGAUGAUCAGCCACACUGGGACUGAGACACGGCCCAGACUCCUACGGGAGGCAGCAGUGGGGAAUAUUGGACAAUGGGCGCAAGCCUGAUCCAGCCAUGCCGCGUGAGUGAUGAAGGCCCUAGGGUUGUAAAGCUCUUUCAUCGGUGAAGAUAAUGACGGUAACCGGAGAAGAAGCCCCGGCUAACUUCGUGCCAGCCGCCGCAGUAAAAC